rnacentral:rRNA from 1 species
UUAAGCGACUAAGCGUACACGGUGGAUGCCCUGGCAGUCAGAGGCGAUGAAGGACGUGCUAAUCUGCGAUAAGCGUCGGUAAGGUGAUAUGAACCGUUAUAACCGGCGAUUUCCGAAUGGGGAAACCCAGUGUGUUUCGACACACUAUCAUUAACUGAAUCCAUAGGUUAAUGAGGCGAACCGGGGGAACUGAAACAUCUAAGUACCCCGAGGAAAAGAAAUCAACCGAGAUUCCCCCAGUAGCGGCGAGCGAACGGGGAGGAGCCCAGAGUCUGAAUCAGUGUGUGUGUUAGUGGAAGCGUCUGGAAAGGCGCGCGAUACAGGGUGACAGCCCCGUACACAAAAAUGCACAUAUUGUGAGCUCGAUGAGUAGGGCGGGACACGUGGUAUCCUGUCUGAAUAUGGGGGGACCAUCCUCCAAGGCUAAAUACUCCUGACUGACCGAUAGUGAACCAGUACCGUGAGGGAAAGGCGAAAAGAACCCCGGCGAGGGGAGUGAAAAAGAACCUGAAACCGUGUACGUACAAGCAGUGGGAGCCUCUUUUAUGGGGUGACUGCGUACCUUUUGUAUAAUGGGUCAGCGACUUAUAUUCUGUAGCAAGGUUAACCGAAUAGGGGAGCCGAAGGGAAACCGAGUCUUAACUGGGCGUUAAGUUGCAGGGUAUAGACCCGAAACCCGGUGAUCUAGCCAUGGGCAGGUUGAAGGUUGGGUAACACUAACUGGAGGACCGAACCGACUAAUGUUGAAAAAUUAGCGGAUGACUUGUGGCUGGGGGUGAAAGGCCAAUCAAACCGGGAGAUAGCUGGUUCUCCCCGAAAGCUAUUUAGGUAGCGCCUCGUGAAUUCAUCUCCGGGGGUAGAGCACUGUUUCGGCAAGGGGGUCAUCCCGACUUACCAACCCGAUGCAAACUGCGAAUACCGGAGAAUGUUAUCACGGGAGACACACGGCGGGUGCUAACGUCCGUCGUGAAGAGGGAAACAACCCAGACCGCCAGCUAAGGUCCCAAAGUCAUGGUUAAGUGGGAAACGAUGUGGGAAGGCCCAGACAGCCAGGAUGUUGGCUUAGAAGCAGCCAUCAUUUAAAGAAAGCGUAAUAGCUCACUGGUCGAGUCGGCCUGCGCGGAAGAUGUAACGGGGCUAAACCAUGCACCGAAGCUGCGGCAGCGACGCUUAUGCGUUGUUGGGUAGGGGAGCGUUCUGUAAGCCUGUGAAGGUGUGCUGUGAGGCAUGCUGGAGGUAUCAGAAGUGCGAAUGCUGACAUAAGUAACGAUAAAGCGGGUGAAAAGCCCGCUCGCCGGAAGACCAAGGGUUCCUGUCCAACGUUAAUCGGGGCAGGGUGAGUCGACCCCUAAGGCGAGGCCGAAAGGCGUAGUCGAUGGGAAACAGGUUAAUAUUCCUGUACUUGGUGUUACUGCGAAGGGGGGACGGAGAAGGCUAUGUUGGCCGGGCGACGGUUGUCCCGGUUUAAGCGUGUAGGCUGGUUUUCCAGGCAAAUCCGGAAAAUCAAGGCUGAGGCGUGAUGACGAGGCACUACGGUGCUGAAGCAACAAAUGCCCUGCUUCCAGGAAAAGCCUCUAAGCAUCAGGUAACAUCAAAUCGUACCCCAAACCGACACAGGUGGUCAGGUAGAGAAUACCAAGGCGCUUGAGAGAACUCGGGUGAAGGAACUAGGCAAAAUGGUGCCGUAACUUCGGGAGAAGGCACGCUGAUAUGUAGGUGAAGUCCCUUGCGGAUGGAGCUGAAAUCAGUCGAAGAUACCAGCUGGCUGCAACUGUUUAUUAAAAACACAGCACUGUGCAAACACGAAAGUGGACGUAUACGGUGUGACGCCUGCCCGGUGCCGGAAGGUUAAUUGAUGGGGUCAGCGCAAGCGAAGCUCUUGAUCGAAGCCCCGGUAAACGGCGGCCGUAACUAUAACGGUCCUAAGGUAGCGAAAUUCCUUGUCGGGUAAGUUCCGACCUGCACGAAUGGCGUAAUGAUGGCCAGGCUGUCUCCACCCGAGACUCAGUGAAAUUGAACUCGCUGUGAAGAUGCAGUGUACCCGCGGCAAGACGGAAAGACCCCGUGAACCUUUACUAUAGCUUGACACUGAACAUUGAGCCUUGAUGUGUAGGAUAGGUGGGAGGCUUAGAAGUGUGGACGCCAGUCUGCAUGGAGCCGACCUUGAAAUACCACCCUUUAAUGUUUGAUGUUCUAACGUUGACCCGUAAUCCGGGUUGCGGACAGUGUCUGGUGGGUAGUUUGACUGGGGCGGUCUCCUCCUAAAGAGUAACGGAGGAGCACGAAGGUUGGCUAAUCCUGGUCGGACAUCAGGAGGUUAGUGCAAUGGCAUAAGCCAGCUUGACUGCGAGCGUGACGGCGCGAGCAGGUGCGAAAGCAGGUCAUAGUGAUCCGGUGGUUCUGAAUGGAAGGGCCAUCGCUCAACGGAUAAAAGGUACUCCGGGGAUAACAGGCUGAUACCGCCCAAGAGUUCAUAUCGACGGCGGUGUUUGGCACCUCGAUGUCGGCUCAUCACAUCCUGGGGCUGAAGUAGGUCCCAAGGGUAUGGCUGUUCGCCAUUUAAAGUGGUACGCGAGCUGGGUUUAGAACGUCGUGAGACAGUUCGGUCCCUAUCUGCCGUGGGCGCUGGAGAACUGAGGGGGGCUGCUCCUAGUACGAGAGGACCGGAGUGGACGCAUCACUGGUGUUCGGGUUGUCAUGCCAAUGGCACUGCCCGGUAGCUAAAUGCGGAAGAGAUAAGUGCUGAAAGCAUCUAAGCACGAAACUUGCCCCGAGAUGAGUUCUCCCUGACUCCUUGAGAGUCCUGAAGGAACGUUGAAGACGACGACGUUGAUAGGCCGGGUGUGUAAGCGCAGCGAUGCGUUGAGCUAACCGGUACUAAUGAACCGUGAGGCUUAACCUU